rnacentral:rRNA from 1 species
CCUACUGGUGGCAGCAGUGGGGAAUAUUGCACAAUGGGGGAAACCCUGAUGCAGCGACGCCGCGUGAAGGAAGAAGUAUUUCGGUAUGUAAAAUUCUAUCAGCAGGGAAGAAAAUGACUGUACCUGACUAAGAAGCCCCGGCUAACUACGUGCAAGCAGCCGCGGUAAUACGUAGGGGGCAAGCGUUAUCCGGAUUUACUGGGUGUAAAGGGAGCGUAGGCGGUAAUGCCAGUCGGAAGUGAAAGCCCGGGGCUCAACUCCGGGACUGCUUGUGAAACUGUGUUGCUAGAUUGCAGGAGAGGUAAGUGGAAUUCCUAGUGUAGCGGUGAAAUGCGUAGAUAUUAGGAGGAACACCAGUAGCGAAGGCGGCUUACUGGACUGUAAAUGACGCUGAGGCUCGAAAGCGUGGGGAGCAAACAGGAUUAGAUACCCGGGUAGUC